GACGAACGCUGGCGGCGUGCUUAACACAUGCAAGUCGAACGGAAAGGCCCUGCUUUUGUGGGGUGCUCGAGUGGCGAACGGGUGAGUAACACGUGAGUAACCUGCCCUUGACUUUGGGAUAACUUCUGGAAACUUGGGCUAAUACCGGAUAGGAGCUCCUGCUGCAUGGUGGGGGUUGGAAAGUUUCGGCGGUUGGGGAUGGACUCGCGGCUUAUCAGCUUGUUGGUGGGGUAGUGGCUUACCAAGGGUUUGACGGGUAGCCGGCCUGAGAGGGUGACCGGGAACAUUGGGACUGAGAUACGGACCAGACUCCAACGGGAGGCAGCAGUGGGGAAUAUUGCACAAUGGGCGGAAGCCUGAUGCAGCAACGCCGCGAGCGGGAUGACGGCCUUGGGGUUGUAAACCGAUUUCGCCUGUGACGAAGCGUGAGUGACGGUAAUGGGUAAAGAAGCACCGGCUAACUACGUG
rnacentral:rRNA from 1 species